CCUACGGGUGGCUGCAGUGGGGAAUAUUGGACAAUGGACGAAAGCCUGAUCCAGCCAUGCCGCGUGUGUGAAGAAGGCCUUCGGGUUGUAAAGCACUUUCAGUGGGGAAGAAAGCCUUGGGGCUAAUACCCUCGAGGAAGGACAUCACCCACAGAAGAAGCACCGGCUAACUCCGUGCCAGCAGCCGCGGUAAUACGGAGGGUGCGAGCGUUAAUCGGAAUUACUGGGCGUAAAGCGCGCGUAGGCGGUCUGAUAAGCCGGUUGUGAAAGCCCCGGGCUCAACCUGGGAACGGCAUCCGGAACUGUCAGGCUAGAGUGCAGGAGAGGAAGGUAGAAUUCCCGGUGUAGCGGUGAAAUGCGUAGAGAUCGGGAGGAAUACCAGUGGCGAAGGCGGCCUUCUGGACUGACACUGACGCUGAGGUGCGAAAGCGUGGGUAGCAAACAGGAUUAGAUACCCCGGUAGUC
rnacentral:rRNA from 1 species